UACGUAGGGGGCAAGCGUUGUCCGGAUUUACUGGGUGUAAAGAGCGUGUAGGCGGCCAGGCAGGUCUGUUGUGAAAACUGGAGGCUCAACUUCCAGACGUCGACAGAAACCGCUUGGCUAGAGUCCGGAAGAGGAGAGUGGAAUUCCUGGUGUAGCGGUGAAAUGCGCAGAUAUCAGGAAGAACACCGAUGGCGAAGGCAGCUCUCUGGGACGGUACUGACGCUGAGACGCGAAAGCGUGGGGAGCGAACAGG
rnacentral:rRNA from 1 species